rnacentral:rRNA from 1 species
AUUGAACGCUGGCGGCAUGCCUUACACAUGCAAGUCGAACGGCAGCGCGGGGCAACCUGGCGGCGAGUGGCGAACGGGUGAGUAAUAUAUCGGAACAUACCCUAGAGUGGGGGAUAACGUAGCGAAAGUUACGCUAAUACCGCAUACGCACUAAGGUGGAAAGUGGGGGAUUCGCAAGAACCUCAUGCUCAUGGAGUGGCCGAUAUCUGAUUAGCUAGUUGGUGAGGUAAAGGCUCACCAAGGCAACGAUCAGUAGCUGGUUUGAGAGAACGACCAGCCACACUGGAACUGAGACACGGUCCAGACUCCUACGGAGGCAGCAGUGGGGAAUUUUGGGACAAUGGGGGCAACCCUGAUCCAGCAAUGCCGCGUGAGUGAAGAAGGCCUUCGGUUGUAAGAC